CCUACGGGGGGCUGCAGUGGGGAAUUUUGGACAAUGGACGAAAGUCUGAUCCAGCGACGCCGCGUGGAGGACGAAGGUUUUCGGAUCGUAAACUCCUUUUACAGGGGACGAAAGCCCGCAAGGGUUUGACGGUACUCUGUGAAUAAGCCACGGCUAACUACGUGCCAGCAGCCGCGGUAAUACGUAGGUGGCGAGCGUUACUCGGAUUUACUAGGCGUAAAGCGCGUAGAGGCGGGAUUAUAUCUGUGGCGAAAGCUCAGGGCUCAACCCUGAAAUGCCGGCAGAAACUGGGCUUCUUGAGUGCGGUAGAGGAGAUCGGAAUUCCAGGUGUAGCGGUGAAAUGCGUAGAUAUCUGGAAGAACGCCAAAGGCGAAGGCAGAUCUCUGGGCCGAUACUGACGCUGAGACGCGAAAGCUAGGGGAGCAAACAGGAUUAGAUACCCCGGUAGUC
rnacentral:rRNA from 1 species